AGUAAGCCAGACAAUCGCUGCUGAUUUAAAUCAGGAGAGGAAAGUCCGAGCUCCAUAGGGCAGGGUGCUGGGUAAUACCCAGUCAGGGCGACUUGAAGGAUAGUGCAACAGAGAUAUACCGCCGAGAUUUUCUCGGCAAGGGUGGAAAGGCGAGGUAAGAGCUCACCAGCACAUGGGUGACUAUGUGGCUAUGUAAACCCCACCUGGAGCAAGAUCGAAUAGGAGAGCGUUAAGGGGCUGCCCGUCCCGCUCUCGGGUAGUAUCGCUAGAGUGUAAUGGUAACAUUGCGCGUAGAUAGAUGAUUGUCUAAUACAGAACUCGGCUUAUAGGCUUGGUCG
rnacentral:RNase_P_RNA from 1 species